rnacentral:rRNA from 1 species
CCUUGGGUGCCCAGGCGCGAAAACUUUACAAUGCCGGCAACGGCGAUAAGGGAACCUCGAGUGCCAGGUUACAAAUCUGGCUGUCGUGAUGCCUAAAAAGCAUUGCAUAGCAAGGGCCGGGCAAGACCGGUGCCAGCCGCCGCGGUAACACCGGCGGCUCGAGUGGUAACCGUUAUUAUUGGGUCUAAAGGGUCUGUAGCCGGCCGGGUAAGUCUCUUGGGAAAUCUGGCAGCUUAACUGUCAGGCUUUCAGGAGAUACUGCCUGGCUCGAGGCCGGGAGAGGUGAGAGGUACUUCAGGGGUAGGGGUGAAAUCUUGUAAUCCUUGAAGGACCACCAGUGGCGAAGGCGUCUCACCAGAACGGACCUGACGGCAAGGGACGAAAGCUAGGGGCACGAACCGGAUUAGAUACCCGGGUAGUCCUAGCCGUAAACGAUACUCGCUAGGUGUCGGCCACGGUGCGACCGUGGUCGGUGCCGUAGGGAAGCCGUGAAGCGAGCCACCUGGGAAGUACGGCCGCAAGGCUGAAACUUAAAGGAAUUGGCGGGGGAGCAC